UACGACUACAUAUCAGGCAUAUCAAUAAGCGGAGGAAAAGAAACUAACAAGGAUUCCCUUAGUAACGGCGAGUGAAGCGGGAAGAGCUCAAAUUUGAAAUCUUCAAGGUUCUACCUUGACGAAUUGUAGUUUAAAGAAGUGUUUUCUGUUAGAGGAGUAGCAAAAGUUCCUUGGAAUGGGACAUCAUAGAGGGUGAGAAUCCCGUAUUUGGUUAUUCUUUCUAGCUUUGUGAUACACUUUCAAAGAGUCGGAUUGUUUGGGAAUGCAGUCCAAAAUGGGUGGUAAAUUUCAUCUAAAGCUAAAUAUUGGCGAGAGACCGAUAGCGAACAAGUACCGUGAGGGAAAGAUGAAAAGAACUUUGAAAAGAGAGUUAAACAGUACGUGAAAUUGUCAAAAGGGAAGCGUUUGACACCAGUGUUGUUUAGUUGAAAAUCAAUUCAAUAGUUUUUGAUUCUAAGUAGUAUUGACUUCAUCAGCUUGCUGCUUUCUUCUCAGAAAUUAUUGAAUGCACUUUUCAGUUAACAAGUCAACAUCAAUUUCUUUUGUUGUAAAAGGGUAAGAGGAAGGUGGCUUGCGCUUCGGCUCAAGUGUUUAUAGCCUUUUAUCUCUGCAAUCGGAGAGAUUGAGGUCUGCAGCGUAGAUCCUUCGGGGUUAGAUACAUUGGUGCUAAGCUAUAGCCUUGUAUAGACAACUUGUUGACUAUGCUCAGUCAUGUAGCUUACUCCGCCUGAUGCUAUUUUACCUACGCUUAGGAUGUUGAUCUACAGAGCGAGAGU
rnacentral:rRNA from 1 species